AUUGAACGCUGGCGGCAUGCCUUACACAUGCAAGUCGAACGGUAACAGGUCUUUCGGGAUGCUGACGAGUGGCGAACGGGUGAGUAAUACAUCGGAACGUGCCUGGUAGUGGGGGAUAACUACUCGAAAGAGUGGCUAAUACCGCAUGAGAUCUAUGGAUGAAAGCAGGGGACCUUCGGGCCUUGUGCUACUAGAGCGGCCGAUGGCAGAUUAGGUAGUUGGUGGGAUAAAAGCUUACCAAGCCUACGAUCUGUAGCUGGUCUGAGAGGACGAUCAGCCACACUGGGACUGAGACACGGCCCAGACUCCUACGGGAGGCAGCAGUGGGGAAUUUUGGACAAUGGGCGCAAGCCUGAUCCAGCAAUGCCGCGUGCAGGAUGAAGGCCUUCGAGUUGUAAACUGCUUUUGUACGGAACGAAAAGUCUUGGGUUAAUACCCUGGGAUCAUGACGGUACCGUAAGAAUAAGCACCGGCUAACUACGUGCCAGCCGCCGCAGUAAAAC
rnacentral:rRNA from 1 species